rnacentral:rRNA from 1 species
UUGACGGGGCCCGCACAAGCGGUGGAUGAUGUGGUUUAAUUCGAUGCAACGCGAAAAACCUUACCCACCUUUGACAUGUACGGAAUUUGCCAGAGAUGGCUUAGUGCUCGAAAGAGAGCCGUAACACAGGUGCUGCAUGGCUGUCGUCAGCUCGUGUCGUGAGAUGUUGGGUUAAGUCCCGCAACGAGCGCAACCCUUGUCAUUAGUUGCUACGAAAGGGCACUCUAAUGAGACUGCCGGUGACAAACCGGGGGAAGUGGGGAUGACGUCAAGUCCUCAUGGCCCUUAUAGGUGGGGCUACACACGUCAUACAAUGGCCGGUACAAAGGGUCGCAAACCCGCGAGGGGGAGCCAAUCCAUCAAAGCCGGUCGUAGUCCGGAUCGCAGUCUGCAACUCGACUGCGUGAAGUCGGAAUCGCUAGUAAUCGUGGAUCAGCAUGUCACGGUGAAUACGUUCCCGGGCCUU